CCCUUAGAUGUUCUGGGCUGCACGCGUGUUACAAUCGGGAGUACAACAAGAUUGCAAAUCCUAGUGGAUGAGUGGUUCUUCGAAAUUUUCUGAAGACUGGGAUAGUUGAUUGAAAUUAUUCAACUCAAACGAGGAAUCCCUUGUAAUUGUAAUUCAUUAUAUUGUAAUGAAUACGUCCCUGCCCUUUGUACACACCGCCCGUCGCUCCUACCGAUUGAACGAUCCGGUGAAUUAUUUGGAGUAGCUCUGGAAGUUGCAGAACUUCCUAUGUCACGAAAUUUUGUAAACCUUAUCGUUUAGAGGAAGGAAAAGUCGUAACA
rnacentral:rRNA from 1 species